AUGCCUUGUGACCACUGUAUUUAUAAUAAACGUGGCAGCUAGAAAGACAGACAUACUGCAGAAGAGUUUGUACCUAAAUAGGUUAGCCCCUGCCCAGUUGAACUUCGCCUGACAUGCUGAGGUCGCAGGUCAAAGGGAGAUGAUCAAUCAAUUUUUGACAGGACAAAGAAAACCUUUUUUUGCGCCUGUUGAUCAUUGUGAUUUGGACGACCGAGAAUUCUUGGAUUCAGUUUCGAAUCUAGGCUUGGAGAAGGAAGUAUUAAUUC